AGACAUGGAGGAUAAAAUAUGAGUAUCUAAGAUAAAUCCUCAAGUAUUUAUUUCAUUUUGUUCUGCAUUACAAUUUGUUUGAUUCAUUUGGGGAUCUACUUGUUUGCCAAAGGAAGCACAUUUCGAGCUCUCUGCUGAAUACUUAAUGCAUGCAAAGUUACCUUUUUCACACAGGUUGAGACCUGUUAUUUCCAGUAAGGCUUGAGAACAGCAUCGUGUCUGACCAUGACACCUUCAGUCUGGUUUUCCAGGGAAAAGUCCAAAAAAUACAUACUGUGCUGAUAGAUUCCACUAGAAUACACCUCCCCGUCCAUCUCGGCCUUGCCAUGAGUCUGAAUAUUCUAUCUAGGCUUUAUAGUUUAUCAAGCUCCAGAAAUACAAAAGGUAUACAACUACCCAACCCUUCUGGUAAAAGCACACGCACAGGUAUUUAACCUCAGCUCUCAACGUAAAUUUAAGCAACUAUACUAAAUCCUGUUAGAAAUGAAGAAAUGAGUUCAAUGCACUUCAGCUCUCAAAUGGUGAAAAUGAUCUCCAGCAUAAUUACAUUAGCUAGUACCUUCACAUCUGGUGUGUAUCUUGUUAUUUCUGGUUGGGCACAUCACAUGUGAAGCAUAUAAAUCCAUAAAAGGUAUAAGAUUUCCCUCUGAACCACCUUGCAUUUGGGCCAAAAGAAAAAUUCUCUCCUCUCAUUACACUUAAAAAGCAGUUGGAAAAGAAGACCUACCAAUUUAAUCCCAAUACAUCAGCUAAGGCACUCUGAGAAGUCAGUUUCGCUCAUCAAGGUGGCGUAUAAAGCUGUUUGGCAACACAAACACAAGCCUGGGCAAGAGACCAUUAAAAUAAACACCGUUUAAAAGUCCAAUUCCAAACGGCAAACAUAUUCGAAAGUUUAGACAGUCAAUCACCUGAAUUCCAAUCAGUCAGUAAAAAAGUAAUCACUUUUAUAAAAGUCUGUUCUGAUAAAUUCUCUAGAUAUGAGAGCAUUUAAUAAUGUCCAUUUAUAAAAAGCAACUAUUUUUUCUGGCCUGAUUUGUGGAAAUCACAUUGGAAAGAACUAAUAAGCAUGGACUAAAUGACCACAAAUAAAUUUUCAGGAGUUCCCAUUAUGGCUCAGCAGGUUAAGAAUCUGACUAGUAUCCAUGAGGACCUGGGUUUAAUCCCUGGCCUUGCUCAGUAGGUUAAGGAUCUGGCAUUGCCACAAGCUGUGGCACAGGUCGCAGAUGCAGCUGGCAGCCCAUGUUGCCUUGGCUGUGGCCUAGGCCAGCAGCUGCAGCUCUGAUUCAACCCCUAGCCUGGGAAUUUCCAUAUGCCGCACGUGCAGCCCUGUAAAGACAAAAGACAAAAUAACAAAUAUGCCCCUAAUCACUCAUAUCUAAGAGGUGCUUUUAAUACAUCAAAGCACUGAAAUGAUGCUCCAGCCCUAAGAAGUUUGUGGCUACCCUCUGCUUCCUUUCAGAGCAUUCCUUUUCUUCUAAGACAGAGACUCUCGAGCAGGGUGAGCCUGCAACCCCCAGACACAUUUGGCCAUGGCUGGAGACAUUUCUGGCUGUCACCCUUUGGGGACACUCCUGGUACAGAGGCUAAUGAUGCCACUAAACAUCCAACAAUGCACAAGACACUCCCCUCCACACACAAUAAAGAAUUAUUCAAAAUAUCAAUACUGCUGAGGACCUUGCUUCAAGACGAGGUCACUGCCACCAACAACAGCACUCAGAACACACCUAGAACAGGAAAAUAAUACCCAAGAAGAUCUUUCCCCCUUGUAAUACGAUGGGUGGCCCUUCCAGGAAGCAAUUACAACACAGCCCUGACUUUUCCCCUCCACAGUACUAAAAAGUCAAAUCAACUCUUAGUAAAAAACAAGAAGCUCCCUGACACUGUAAACCAGCUAUAUUGGAAAAAAUACACAUCAUUAUAAAAAAUUUAAAAAAAAUUUAAAUGCCUUUGAUUCUUAAUAGGAAGGGUUUUCUUUAAAGGAGAAAAAAGACAGCGAAAGGAAGGAGGGAAUAAGAAGUCUAUGUGGGAGGGGAGGCUAAUACUGGCUUUAGAACAAGAUAAAAGGAGCAAAUAAAGAAGAAAAAUUACCCUCUCCUACAAAUCUGUGAAAGCAUUUCAAAUCACUGCAAUUACGGGUGCCCAGGAGAAUUCCCCCUUCACAUUCACAAGGUACUUUCUCCUAACCCUCAUGCUAUUUCAAGUUAAAAUAACACUGUCACAGAGUGGCUAGGCAGCACCAUUAAAGGUAAUAAGUAAAUGGCAAAGAUAGAGGUGGCCCAGAACAUGUACCUGGAACACAGAAACAUACAUCUAGCACUGCAGCCUGUUUUGCUUUUUUUUUUUUUUAGGGCCGCACCCACAGCAUAUGGAAGUUCCCAGACUAGGGGUGGAAUCAGAGGUGUAGCCGCCGGCCUACACCACAGCCAGAGCCACAGCCACACUAGAUCUGCAACCUCCACCACAGCUCACCUGUGGAUCCUGAACCCACUGAGUGAGUCCAGGGAUAGAACCCGUGACCUCAUGGUUCCUAGUCGGGUUCGUUUACCACUGAGCCACGAAGGGAACUCCCUGCAGCCUCUUUUUACCAUUUGUAAGGACAGCCCUGUCUGUGAUUCUAGAGCAUACAGUCCUAAUGGAUCUUCUAUCUUGAACACUUCCUUAGCGCGAAAACACAAUGGGAGCUUCGGGGUUUUUACAGAAGGUAGUUUCUCUUUCCCUUGGUCAGGGACUUUAGGCCCUAGAUAUUUUUUUAAAGUAUCACUACAGUUGCUAUCCUCAUUAGGUUUAUUUACAAUUUAUUUGUAGAAGCAGGUCAUAUGAUAUUUAAAAAAAAAAAAAUUUUUUUUUAACUAUCAGUACCAGAUGGCUGAGGUGGAAACAGUACCUUUGUUUACAGGAAUAAGAGAAGGAACUGACCACCAGAAGCUGCGCUAGUAGGAAAGGUGUCAGACAUUCUGCUCCACCUUCCAACCAUCCUAAUUUAUUGAGUAGGAAACACUGUGGAAAGGACAACCCUUUCAGUUUUCAAAUUAAACCCUUCAGAUUCUUCCCUUUAAAAUUUCUUACUAAUUUGACUCAACUUCCUUUUCUUGAUAGAAUGUUCAAGCUAUUUUGAUAAAACAACCUCACCUACAGAGUUCCCACUAUGGCUUAACGGUAACAAACCCAACUAGGACCGUAGUAUCCAUGAGGACUCGGGUUUGAUUCCUGGCCCUGCUUAGUGGGUUAAGGAUCCAGCGUUGCCAUGAGCUGUGGUGUAGAUCACAGACAUGGCUCAGAUCCCGCCUAGCUGUGGCUGUGUGGCUGUGGCAUAGGCUGGCAGCUGCAGCUCCAAUUCAACCCUUAGCCUGGGAACUUGAGAACUUCCAUAUGCUGCAAGUACAGGCCUAAAAGGCAAAAACAAAACAAAAACCUCACCUUCAAGAAACAGUCUUUUCUGAAUCUUUGUACCUCACCCACCCAUCAAUCCUUCCAAAUCUGUAGACUUCUCUUCAGUCUCUUCAGUUUUUCUGCAGAUCCAAAACUCUGCCUACAUGCACAGAAUUCUCUGCAGACAGACUAGCAUUAAUUACAGGCACAGACAAAGGUUUCUACCAAUCUCAUCCAUGUAAGAUACAGGGCACUCCGGGGUUGUUCCUUGUUCAACUGCUUUGAUUUGCAGUCUUCCCACUUCUUAAUGCUAUGGAGCUUUCUACAUUCUCUGUACAAUGGUGGUUGAAAAGUGAAAAUGCACUAUUUCCUUUAUAUUGGUUUAUCAGCCACAUCCAAGUCAGCAUCUUUUCCAAAUCAACUUCUCACUGACAAGACAAGACUAUACCCCCAAAUUAGUAAAUUCUAAAGUUACCAACAGUUAGGAUCUAUAUCCUAAGAAAUCAUCAAUAAACAGGUUUCCACCAACCAUAUGCCCUCUGCCCUUUGCCUCCUGACUCUACAUAGAAUAUACCUAGAUAUUUUUUUUUCUCUCCUGGAGGCUGCCACCAUAAAAUCCAAAAAGGUUCAGUAGUGAACAUAUUACACGUACAUAACUGUGUCAAACAUCAAAAUUUGAAAUGAAAAGCUCUGGUAAAUACUCAAUGGGUGUAAAUGAUAAAAGCCUCUGUUAAAAAGACCUAGGAGCACCAACCACAUACUUACAAAAAAGAAAAACUGAGGAGACUAAAGAGAAGUCUACAAGUUUGGAAGGAUUGAUGGGUGGGUGAGGUACAAAGAUUCAGAAAGGGGAAAGCAGGUGACCCAGGAGAGACAACUGGUAGGAAAACACAGGCUUCUUUGAAUGCUGCCAAGAAGUCCUCCAACAGAACCAAGGCAUGUGGACUCUACGCCUGGAAUGUUGUCUCUCAGCCUUUCCUCUGAGAAUCCCCUGCAGUCCCAGGACCAAGGAUGGGGCACAUGUCACCAAAGCCAAACCAAAGAGGUUUUCAGUGGGGAAAAGGUUAUUGGUUUUAUGAGAGUUUUGUUACAGUCUCUGAUUCCCUACCUACAGUCCCUCUACCUCAGGUAGCAAGAUCAACUAGAUAGUGAUCAAAUCAACAAUGUACUACAAAGCAAAGGAAAAGAAAGAGAACGGGGGAAAUGGAAAAGAGCUUCAUUUGCACAAAACGGUGAAGGAUGGCUUCAGGCUGGAUACAUGCAUCUUUUCAAGGAAGAAAUCUCAGAAACAGGCACUGGAGAAGUGGGACAAUAGAAACAACACAAGGUCUGGAGUCAGACAAAUUUGGGUUUGACACUGGACUCUGUGGGCUACUAACUGUAAAACCUCAGGCAAGCCAAUUACCCUAAGUUUCAUCGUUCCCAUCCAUAAGCUAAAAGUAUUACCCCUACCAUUCAGGGAUGUUGUAAAGCUGGCAAAAAUGUAUAAAAAGAAACCUGUCACAUGGUGGAUGCCCAAUAAGUAAGGACAGAAGUGGUGUUUUAAGAAAAACACUGUUUCCUCAGAUUCCAAGGGAAGUUUUGAUGCCUAUUUCUUUACUCAGUGUAUCACCUGACCUUCCUUCCUUCCUUCUCCUUCCUGCCAAAUUCCUCAACUCUCUCAGACUCCAACACACUAUGUGUAUCAAUUUAGGAAUCUUCUCCAAGUUAGGAUUUCCCACUUUAUGCCUGAAUACUCCCAUGUCCUCCAACUCCACUGCAUAUGAAUGGACUUGCAUUUGUGGCACUGGUCAUUUUAAAGAUACUUUCUUUUAAAAAGGCAGAUUUCAAGGUCAUUUUAUAUCGCUAACUGCUGCCUUGUUUUGUUGUGUUUUACCUAAGAACGUUAGUGUCUUAAAAAUAAACCUUACCUAUUGAAGCAUAUUCCUUAACAGUCAAUGGAAGUAGAUAUAUGAGUAUCAAAAGCAUAAUAAUUUAAUUCACUAAACAAUUUCACAGUGGAUCUCAAAGGCUACCAUGUUUACAUUUGGUAAUUGCUAUCAUUCUCGGCAGUGUUUACUUUUUAAACCAUAGAUUUAUUUUUUUUAAUGAAUUUCCCUGGUAAUGAACUGAAGAGCCUACAAAGAUAGUGAUAUCUAUAAGACUUAAUGCAUUAUAUAGUUACGGGGCAGUAAUUUGCUCGUGAAUAUCCCCAGGCUUAGAUGAAUCCUCUCUCAUCACAAAGAAUGGCCUCAGCAAAGAGAAAAAGAAAAAUACAUGAAGAGUCCUGCCAUUUCUUUACUAUGUGACUUUGUCAGUUAACUUCUGUGUGCCUCUUGUUGUCUUUGCAUGCCAUACAAUGGUUCUGAACCUGGACAGUGUUUUUUGUUUUUUGGGUUUUUUUGUCUUUUUGAUUUU
rnacentral:lncRNA from 1 species